rnacentral:rRNA from 1 species
UGGCGAACGGGUGAGUAACACGUGGGUGAUCUGCCCUGCACUUCGGGAUAAGCUUGGGAAACUGGGUCUAAUACCGGAUAGGAGCCAUCUUUAGUGUGGUGGUUGGAAAGUUUUUCGGUGUAGGAUGAGCUCGCGGCCUAUCAGCUUGUUGGUGGGGUAAUGGCUUACCAAGGCUUUGACGGGUAGCCGGCCUGAGAGGGUGACCGGCCACAUUGGGACUGAGAUACGGCCCAG